rnacentral:rRNA from 1 species
AUGGCCGCGCUGCCUCCCGGGUACCGCUUCUAUCCUACCGAGGAGGAGCUGGUGCGCUUCUACCUCCGGCACAAGCUCGACGGCAGCCGCCGCGCGGACAUCGAGCGCGUCAUCCCCGUCGCCGACGUCUGUUCCCUGGACCCGUGGCAGCUCCCAGAGGUGCAUCGGGGCGCCUGCGCCAGCCACGGGGAGCCGUGGUUCUACUUCUGCGCGCGGCAGGACCGGGAGGCGCGGGGCGGCCGGCCGAGCCGCACGACGCCGUCCGGGUACUGGAAGGCGGCGGGCACGCCAGGGUUGGUCUACUCCGCCGGCGGCCACCUCGUCGGGACCAAGAAGACCAUGGUGUUCUACCGCGGCCGCGCGCCGGCCGGGGCCAAGACUAAGUGGAAGAUGAACGAGUACAGGGCCCUCGAGGAAGACGGCGCCGAUGCCGAUGCCGCCGCUCCGGCAUCGAACCCUGUGUUCCAGGUGCGGAGCGAGUUCAGCUUGUGCCGGCUAUACACAAGUUCAGGCAACAUGCGGCAGUUCGACCGCCGGCCGUGCACUGCCGUCGCGGGAGGCAGCCGCGCGUCGUCGUCCGCCGCGCUUGCAUCGCCCAAUGAAGAUGUCGAAGUGGGAAGGGGUCAGAAGAGGAAAAGGCAUGCAGCUAACGACAACACGUCGUCUAGCGACGCUUACCGACACGUGCAGCAGCAGCAGGGGAAGCAGGAAGGCGCUAAUGAGGAGCUCGCCGACGACAUGACCGACUGGGCAGAGGUUUUGGCCUGGAUCUAA